GCCAGGAGCCAGGGAUUAAUAGUCUAGAGGAAGGGACUAAUGGUACACAGGAACAAUAUUUACUUUUAUAAUGGGAAUAGUUUGAGACAGUGCAUCUUCUAGACACAAACAUUCAGUAGAAAGGGUUAUGCGUUAAUUCUUUCAUUUAAUGAACAUUUUAAGCACCUAUUAUGUGCCAAAUAUCUUUUUGUAGCUCUACAGCAGUGUUCACUUCUCAAUCUUUGGCUACACCAGAGUGUUGGGACCAUGCUCCCAUUAAUCACCCUGUCUCAAACAACACGCCUUCCCUUCAUUCAUUCAUUUACUCAUCCAUUCCUUCACAUAGUUUUUAACCUCAAGAGCUCUGAGGUUCAGGGUGGAAUAAUAUGUAGGGCUUUUGAGAAGUUGACUUUUGAACUAAAUCUUCAAGGAUGAACUAGGGUAGUGGCAGGUAGAAAACUGCCUUUAUAAUUAGCCUUCUUUGGUACCUGGUCAUGGAUUUCUUCUUCAAGCAUGAAUGUCAUCAGUUGUCUGGGAGUGAGAUACAGUGUUCAUAAGCUGAGAAACAGAAUAGACCAUUAAAAAAAAAAGUUGUGGCCAGGCGUAGUGGCUCACGCCUGUAGUCCCAGCACUUUAGGAGGCCGAGGCAGGCCCAUCACAAGGUCGGGAGAUCGAGACCAUCCUGGCUAACAUGGCGAAACCCCAUCUGUACUAAAAAUACACAAAAUUAGCCAGGUAUGGUGGCAUGCACCUGUAGUCCCAGCUACUUGGGAGGCUGAGGCAGGAGAAUCACUUGAACCCGGGAGGCAGAGCUUGCAAGACUCCGUCUAAAAAAAAAAAAGAAAAAAAAAAAAGAAAGAAAGUUGUAACUCCCUCUCUCUACUUGUUGAAGUAGACAUCAAGAAAGACUUUCUUAUUCUGCUUUCCAUUAAAAGCCAUGGGUUGGAAAUUA